rfam:Cephalotus follicularis DNA, scaffold: scaffold2811, isolate: St1.
AAACCGUGAUGAGGACAUUCUUAGAUAAGGUCUUUGAAACGUUCCAUACAUCGAGAGAAUGGUUCAUUGGUUCACUAGUGAAACUGGAGAAUGUUGUUCCUAAGUUU